UUCCGGCUUAAGGGACGGCGGCCACUUCCCCUCGCUGCCAAAGUCCUGCCGAGGGAAAUGCGAAUAAAGGAAUAAACGUUUUCGCGGGAGAAGCAUCGCCUCAAAUGUCUGUGGGCUUGAAACAUAAAGUGCAGCGAUUUGCUCCUAAUUUCGUACUAGCACCAGAGGUUACAGUUUCAAAAUAAAGGAUGGGCUAUUCAAGGAGAAUGAGAAGAAAUCGUUUUACCCUCAUUGAGCAUUUUCAAGAUGGAGAUACAUAGGUUUUUAGAUAUUGAUAGUGUGGUGAUUUCACACGUCAGAACGUGAUUGGACAGUGUUCGGAACAUGCGCAGAAAUCUGAGAAAGAUCUAGAAACAUCAAGAAGCAUGGCGAUUUCUCUUGGGACCAAAGAUGACUUCCUUCCACACUAAUCCUAUAGAUUUUGAAGUCAAUAUGGAAUCCAAAAGCUUGCUACAGAUGGUCCAGGAGUACUUAAUGAGGUGGACGGAUGCUGUUUGGCCUACAGAAUGUUUCAGCAGUUGCUGUUUGCAAAUAUUCAGGGAAUAACGACAAGAAAAAAAAGUCUGUACACGAGACGCAAGGCAAACGAUGCUCAAGCAACAAGUGCUGGAGAGAGAACUUGCAGGUUUUCCCAAUCCACGGUUGUUUGAAUCCGUGCAUGCGGAACCUGCGGAUAAGGAGGGCCGACUGUACAAUAUUCCAAGUCUCCCCCAGUCUCCAGUGCACCAAAAAAAAUAAUCCAACUUUGACUGUGACUUCUGUGUACCAAAAUGCAACCAAAUACAGAAAUUGAGAAGGUACUGACCAAGAUUUCCCACUCCUCCACAUACUAUGAAGUUGCAGCCUUCUCUCAUUUAUUGAGGACCAAGAAGGUAUGGACAAGGAAAGCACAGGAGCGUUUACAGGACUGCUUUGAAUCGGUGGUCUGGACUGUAUUUAGGGAUUCAUCUUCAAACCUGGAUGAGUAUGCUGCAGUUGUUACCGACUUUAUUAAAACCUGUGUGGAAUACUGCACAUUCCCAAACCAAAAGACAUGGAUGAACCAGGAGGUACGUCAUCUGCUGAAGGCUAGAUCUGUGGCAUUCAAGUCUGAAGACCCAAGCCUGUACCAGAAAACCAGCUAUGAUUUGUGGAGGGCUAUUUCAAGGGUGAAGAGACAAUUUUGAACGUGGUUAAGGUGACAUCGGAUGCACAACAAUUCUGGCAGGGCUUGCAAGAUAUUACUUCCUACAAAGUGAAACCCAAUAGUAUGAAUGGCAGCGAUGCUUCACUACCAGAUGAACUCAAUGGUCUAUGCAUGCUUUGAAAGGGAGAACACAACUACAGCCAUGAGGAUCCCUACUGCACCUGAUGACCCUGUAAUCUCUGUCUCAGAGGCUGAUGUUAGACUGUCUUUAAAGAGGGUGAACCCUUGCAAGGUGGAAGGUCCCGAUGGAGUACCUAGCAAGAUUCUGAAAACUUGUGCCAACCGACUGACAGGAGUAUUCAAGGACAUUUUCAACCUCUCGCUGCUACAGGUGGAAGUUCCCACUUGCUUCAAAAAGGCAACAAUUAUACCAGUGGCUAAGAAUAAUAAUGUGGGCUGCCUUAAUGACUAUCGCCCAGUAGCACUCACAUCGACAGUGAUGAAAUGCUUGAAGAGGUUGGGCAAGGCUAGACUGAACUCUUGCCUUAGCAUGGACCUGGACCUAUGGCAAUUUGCCUAUCACCACAAUAGGUCAACGGAUUAUGCAAUCUCAAUGGCUCUUCACACAGCCUCAGACCACCUGGACAAUACAAACACCAAUGUCAGAAUGCUGUUCAUUGACUAUAGCUCAGUAUUUAACACCAUCAUUCUGAACGGUGUCUCAGAAAGUCAGCAUCCAUUAUUAAGGAUCUUCAGCACUCAGGGCGUGCCCUUUUCUCACCUGAAGGCACACACUCAGUGAUUCAGGAACAGCUUCUUCCCCUCUGCCAUCCGAUUCCUAAAUGGACAUUGAACCUUGGACACUACCUUACUUCUCUUAAACAUAUAGUAUUUCUGUUUUUUGCAUGAUUUUUAAUCUAUUCAAUAUAUGUAUACUGUAUGUAUAAAGUAUACCAAAUAUGAUUUGCAUUAUUAUUAUUAUUAUUGUUGUUGUUGUUGUUGUUAUUAUUAUAUUUUUUCUGCUAGAUUAUGUAUUGCAUUGAACUGCUGCUGCUAAGUUAACAAAUUUCAUGUCACAUGCCGGUGAUAAUAAACCUGAUUCUGAAACUGAAUCUGAAUCAACAAAAUAACAAGGUCAACUUUAUGGCAAGCCAUUGUUCUGCAAAAAAGAACAAAAAUUAUAUGUGGAGUGGAAUAUAAAGAAAAUUAUUUUUAAUAAUGAAACAAGCCAUAAACACUGCUCAACAGUCUCUGUGGUCUGAAAAAAAUUAUUGCGCAGGUGUGGAUAGUCAAUUAUUUCAAGGUUUAAGUUAUUGUACUUUUUAAAACAAUGAUUUCUUUUUGUUCAUGUUAUUUCACCUUUUUAUAUGUAUGUUUUGAUCUUCGUUUUAUUCUAUAAAAUGUCUUAUAAAUAUUAAAUUUUGCUCA